rnacentral:rRNA from 1 species
UACGAGGGGUGCAAGCGUUAUUCGGAAUAAUUGGGCGUAAAGGGUGCGUAGACGGUUUCUUAAGUCUGUUGUUAAAUUCCCUGGCUUAACUAGGGGCCUGCAAUGGAAACUGAUUAACUAGAGGGUGAGAGAGAGAAGUGGAAUUCCCGGAGUAGCGGUAAAAUGCGUAGAUCUCGGGAGGAACACCGAUGGCGAAGGCAGCUUCUUGGCUCAUCCCUGACGUUGAUGCACGAAAGCGUGGGGAGCAAACAGG